rfam:Ovis aries breed Texel chromosome 3, whole genome shotgun sequence.
UCCUUGGUGGCUCAGAGGUUAAAGCGUCUGCCUGCAAUGCGGGAGACCUGGGUUCGAUCCCUGGGUUGGGAA